rnacentral:lncRNA from 1 species
GGUUUCUUGGAAGGUCUGGUCUGCCCGGCAAUCUUUUCUCUUCCUGAACUCUCCUUGUGCUCAGAAUGGCUCCCCGACCACUUACAAAGUGGGUCCUGUGCGAACCAUUUUAUGUUCAUUGUCCUUUCUAGGGACUUGGCUCCAUGGAGUUCUUCAAAAGAGGAAUUAAAGACUCAGGGACCGUGCCAUUCGCUGUGCUUCUCAAAUCAUCAUCAGCUGCUUUUGAGGAUGAACAACAGAGCCCCAGGAGCUGCUCCCAUAAAUGACUUCCAAUACAUUGCGGAGAGAGACUAUUAUUCAGAUGCCUGCUAUUACACGGCCUGCACUCGGCCGUUCCACACCGCGCCUCUCCUGACUCGCUUUCAGAGAUCCACUGUCGUCAGCAAAGGGAGAGUGGGCCUGGAGCUUCCGGGAAAGUGCUCUGAGUUGGUGAAAGCUCCCGGAAUGGCAGGCAUUCACAGUUGCAAGUUGCCACCUGGAACCAAUCCACUGAAAGAACCUACAGAAUGGGAGGUAAUAGGCCAAGUCUCCUCUUCCUGGGACUUCUCUGGCCCAGGUUUGUCCAUUUCAUCUCGUCAAAAAUACACUAUUCUCU